GGAGAGGUGCCAGAGUGGUCGAAUGGGGCGGUCUCGAAAACCGUUGAGCGUGCGAGCGUUCCGAGGGUUCGAAUCCCUCUCUCUCCGCCA
rnacentral:tRNA from 1 species